rnacentral:rRNA from 1 species
GACGAACGCUGGCGGCGUGCCUAAUACAUGCAAGUCGAGCGGAAUGAUGAAGAAGCUUGCUUCUUCUGAUUUUAGCGGCGGACGGGUGAGUAACACGUGGGCAACCUACCUUGUAGAUUGGGAUAACUCCGGGAAACCGGGGCUAAUACCGAAUAAUCCAUUUUGCUUCAUGGCGAGAUGUUGAAAGACGGUUUCGGCUGUCACUACGAGAUGGGCCCGCGGCGCAUUAGCUAGUUGGUAGGGUAAUGGCCUACCAAGGCGACGAUGCGUAGCCGACCUGAGAGGGUGAUCGGCCACACUGGGACUGAGACACGGCCCAGACUCCUACGGGAGGCAGCAGUAGGGAAUCUUCCACAAUGGACGAAAGUCUGAUGGAGCAACGCCGCGUGAGUGAAGAAGGUUUUCGGAUCGUAAAACUCUGUUGUAAGGGAAGAACACGUACGAGAGUAACUGCUCGUACCUUGACGGUACCUUAUUAGAAAGCCACGGCUAACUACGUG